rnacentral:rRNA from 1 species
GACGAACGCUGGCGGCGUGCUUAACACAUGCAAGUCGAACGGAAAGGCCCUGCUUGCAGGGUGCUCGAGUGGCGAACGGGUGAGUAACACGUGGGUGAUCUGCCCCUUAUUUUGGGAUAAGCCUGGGAAACUGGGUCUAAUACUGGAUAGGACCAUGCUGUAGGUGGUGUGGUGGAAAGAUUAGUUUCGGUAAGGGAUGAGCUCGCGGCCUAUCAGCUUGUUGGUGGGGUAAUGGCCUACCAAGGCGUCGACGGGUAGCCGGCCUGAGAGGGUGGACGGCCACAUUGGGACUGAGAUACGGCCCAGACUCCUACGGGAGGCAGCAGUGGGGAAGAUUGCACAAUGGGCGCAAGCCUGAUGCAGCGACGCCGCGUGGGGGAUGACGGCCUUCGGGUUGUAAACUCCUUUCAGCCAUGACGAAGCCCUUGUGGUGACGGUAGUGGGAGAAGAAGCACCGGCUAACUACGUG